GAGACGUUGCCCUUCGGGGUAUACCUCCCACCCUUUGUUUAUUAUACCUUUGUUGCUUUGGCGGGCCCGUCCUCGGACCACCGGCUUCGGCUGGUCAGCGCCCGCCAGAGGACCACAACUCUGUAUCAAAUGUCGUCUGAGUACUAUAAAAUAGUUAAAACUUUCAACAACGGAUCUCUUGGUUCU
rnacentral:misc_RNA from 1 species